GCUCCUGCGGAAUAGCUCUGGGAAACUGGAAUUAAUACCGCAUACGCCCUACGGGGGAAAGAUUUAUCGGGGAAGGAUUGGCCCGCGUUGGAUUAGCUAGUUGGUGGGGUAAAGGCCUACCAAGGCGACGAUCCAUAGCUGGUCUGAGAGGAUGAUCAGCCACAUUGGGACUGAGACACGGCCCAAACUCCUACGGGAGGCAGCAGUGGGGAAUAUUGGACAAUGGGCGCAAGCCUGGCAUCCAGCCAUGCCGCGUGAGUGAUGAAGGCCUUAGGGUUGUAAAGCUCUUUCACCGAUGAAGAUAAUGACGGUAGUCGGAGAAGAAGCCCCGGCUAACUUCGUGCCAGCAGCCGCGGUAAUACGAAGGGGGCUAGCGUUGUUCGGAAUUACUGGGCGUAAAGCGCACGUAGGCGGAUAUUUAAGUCAGGGGUGAAAUCCCGCAGCUCAACUGCGGAACUGCCUUUGAUACUGGGUAUCUUGAGUAUGGAAGAGGUAAGUGGAAUUCCGAGUGUAGAGGUGAAAUUCGUAGAUAUUCGGAGGAACACCAGUGGCGAAGGCGGCUUAU
rnacentral:rRNA from 1 species